rnacentral:lncRNA from 1 species
GGCGCCUGGUGCGAUUUAUGCGUCCGGAAGCCCUUUCAGCCUCCCAGGCAUGUCCCCACCUGCCUCACAGCCACCGACGCAUCUCACGGCGGGGGUCUAAUUGCGUGCGCGUGAGGAUGCUCCUAUUCCUGCCGCCUUUCUAACAACUAGUAAUGUUAUGAUGCAUCGUUGGUCCGGCGUACGACGACGCCUGAUGCGAUUUAUGCGUCCGGAAGCCCUUUCAGCCUCCCAGGCAUGUCCCACCUGCCUCACAGCCACCGACGCAUCUCACGGCGGGGGUCUAAUUGCGUGCGCGUGAGGAUGCUCCUAUUCCUGCCGCCUUCUAACAACUAGUUAAUGUUAUGAUGCAUCGUUGGUCCGGCGUACGACGACGCCUGAUGCGAUUUAUGCGUCCGGAAGCCCUUUCAGCCUCCCAGGCAUGUCCCCACCUGCCUCACAGCCACCGACGCAUCUCACGGCGGGGGUCUAAUUGCGUGCGCGUGAGGAUGCUCCUAUUCCUGCCGCCUUUCUAACAACUAGUUAAUGUUAUGAUGCAUCGUUGGUCCGGCGUACGACGACGCCUGAUGCGAUUUAUGCGUCCGGAAGCCCUUUCAGCCUCCCAGGCAUGUCCCACCUGCCUCACAGCCACCGACGCAUCUCACAGCGGAGGUCUAAUUGCGUGCGCGUAUGGAUGCUCCUAUUCCUGCCGCCUUUCUAACAACUAGAAAUGUUAUGAUGUAUCGUGGUCCGGCGUACGACGGCGCCUGAUGCGAUUUAUGCGUCCGGAAGCCCUUUCAGCCUCCAAGGCAUGUCCCCACCUGCCUCACAGCCACCGACGCAUCUCACGGCGGGGGUCUAAUUGCGUGCGCGUAUGGAUGCUCCUUUCCCCGCCGCCUUUCUAACAACUAGAAAUGUUAUGAUGCAUCGUUGGUCCGGCGUACGACGGCGCCUGGUG